rnacentral:lncRNA from 1 species
AUCCUGAUUGCCUGUUAGCAACUGUCCCUAGCAGAGAAAGGAGGGUGCAGCGGACUUGUGGGAGAAGGAAUUUCAAAAUCCAAGGCACAUCAAGGAGUCCUGGAUGGGCAUGCGACGCAUGGGUUAGAGCAGCAUCAGAUGCUGCAGGGAGGGGACAUGGGAAGGGAAUGGGGCAGUGCGUAGAAUGGGAACCACUUCUGCAACUGCCAGUUUUCUUUCAAAAGUAGCUCCUUGCCUCUGCCUGUAGUUGACCUCCAGGGCUUCAGAUCAGGGCAGCACAACCCAGGUCGCUAGUCCAAGGAAGUGAACCUCAGCCUAUGAAGGGUCAGAGGAUCACAUGCGUGUGCACACACACACAUUUUCCUGUCCCUGCCCCUUCCCUUGACGUGCACAGUGGAGCAACCAAGAACUUGGCAGAUGACUAUGGGUGCAGAGCUUGGCCAAGCAGCACAGGGGCACUGGGGGUAUUAGCAGUGCCCUUUAAAAGGUGUGGGAGCACAGCAUGCUCUGGGCCUGGGUUUUGAGUUUUAACCCUGGAAAAAGAUGGCCCUCCUACCCCUCCCCUUCCCUGGCCUCCUUUUGGGAGUGGCUUUCUCCAGGUGGGCAUUCGUGCCUACCUUCCUUCAGUGCCUGCUGGUGUGGGGCCAGCUGAGGAGUGCUAAGGCAGCUGGAGGAGCAACCUGAGGGGACGGGCAGGGGCAGCCCCGUGCUGGGGACCAUUUCUUAAUAAACCCUCUGUGGCUGUCCCA